rnacentral:rRNA from 1 species
AGACGAAGGAUGCAAGCGUUAUCCGGAUUCAUUGGGUUUAAAGGGAGCGUAGGCGGACUUGUAAGUCAGUGGUGAAAUCUGUGGGCUUAACCCACAAACUGCCAUUGAUACUGCAGGUCUAGAGUACAGUUGCCGUUGGCGGAAUAUGACAUGUAGUGGUGAAAUACUUAGAUAUGUCAUAGAACACCGAUUGCGAAGGCAGCUAACGAAGCUGUAACUGACGCUGAGGCUCGAAAGUGCGGGGAUCAAACAGGAUUAGAUACCCUGGUAGUCCGCACUGUAAACGAUGAUUACUCGUUGCUGGGGAGCAAUUUCCAGUGACCAAGCGAAAGCGAUAAGUAAUCCACCUGGGGAGUACGCCGGCAACGGUGAA